UACAGGGGGUGCAAGCGUUGUUCGGAAUUACUGGGCGUAAAGGGCGUGUAGGCGGUUUAGAAAGUCAGAUGUGAAAUCCCGGGGCUUAACUCCGGAAGUGCAUUUGAAACUUCUAGGCUAGAGUGCAGUAGAGGAUGGUGGAAUACCCAGUGGAGAGGUGAAAUUCGUAGAUAUUGGGUGGAACACCGGUGGCGAAGGCGAUCAUCUGGGCUGCAACUGACGCUGAGGCGCGAGAGCGUGGGGAGCAAACAGG
rnacentral:rRNA from 1 species